GACGAACGCUGGCGGCGUGCUUAACACAUGCAAGUCGAACGAAGUGGCGAACGGGUGAGUAAUACGUGGGUAACCUGACCUCCUUUUUGGGAUAAGCCUUGGAAACGGGGUCUAAUACUGAAUAAAGGGGGAUGGGCUGGCGGCCUGUCAGCUUGUGGGUGGGGCGAUGGCCUACCAAGGCGGUGACGGGUAGCCGGCCUGCGAGGGUGACCGGCCACUUGGGGACUGAGGUACGGCCCAGACACCGACGGGGGGGAGCAGUGGGGGAUAUUGCGCAAUGGGCGAAAGCCUGAUGCGGGGACGCGGCGUGGGGGAUGAGGGCUUUCGGGUUGUAAACGUCUUUCGCUAUCGGACCGGUAGGUGGAGAAGAAGCGCCGGCUAACUACGUGCCAGCAGCCGCGGUAAUUC
rnacentral:rRNA from 1 species